GAUGAACGCUGGCGGCGUGCCUAAUACAUGCGAGUCGAGCGAACAGACGAGGAGCUUGCUCCUCUGACGUUAACGGCGGACGGGUGAGUAACUCGUGGAUAACCUACCUAUAAGACUGGGAUAACUUCGGGAGACCGGAGCUAAUACCGGAUAAUAUAUUGAACCGCAUGGUUCAAUAGUGAAAUACGGUUUUGCUGUCACUUAUAGAUGGAUCCGCGCCGCAUUAGCUAGUUGGUAAGGUAACGGCUUACCAAGGCAACGAUGCGUAGCCGACCUGAGAGGGUGAUCGGCCACACUGGAACUGAGACACGGUCCAGACUCCUACGGGAGGCAGCAGUAGGGAAUCUUCCGCAAUGGGCGAAAGCCUGACGGAGCAACGCCGCGUGAGUGAUGAAGGUCUUCGGAUCGUAAAACUCUGUUAUUAGGGAAGAACAAAUGUGUAAGUAACUAUGCACGUCUUGACGGUACCUAAUCAGAAAGCCACGGCUAACUACGUG
rnacentral:rRNA from 1 species